rnacentral:rRNA from 1 species
AACGAACGCUGGCGGCAUGCCUAACACAUGCAAGUCGAACGAGACCUUCGGGUCUAGUGGCGCACGGGUGCGUAACGCGUGGGAACCUGCCCUUAGGUUCGGAAUAACUCCCCGAAAGGGGUGCUAAUACCGGAUAAUGUCUUCGGACCAAAGAUUUAUCGCCUUUGGAUGGGCCCGCGUUGGAUUAGCUAGUUGGUAGGGUAAAAGCCUACCAAGGCGACGAUCCAUAGCUGGUCUGAGAGGAUGAUCAGCCACACUGGGACUGAGACACGGCCCAGACUCCUACGGGAGGCAGCAGGGGGGAAUAUUGGACAAUGGGCGAAAGCCUGAUCCAGCAAUGCCGCGUGAGUGAUGAAGGCCUUAGGGUUGUAAAGCUCUUUUACCCGGGAUGAUAAUGACAGUACCGGGAGAAUAAGCUCCGACUAACUCCGU